rnacentral:rRNA from 1 species
UACAGAGGGUGCAAGCGUUGUUCGGAAUUAUUGGGCGUAAAGCGCGUGUAGGCGGCUUUGCAAGUCGGGUGUGAAAGCCCUCAGCUCAACUGAGGAAGUGCGCCCGAAACUGCAGAGCUUGAGUGCCGGAGAGGGUGGCGGAAUUCCCCAAAGUAGAGGUGGAAAUUCGUAGAUAUGGGGAGGAACACCGGUGGCGAAGGCGGCCACCUGGACGGUAACUGACGCUGAGACGCGAAAGCGUGGGGAGCAAACAGG